UCAGAGCUCGACAGCGGUGGU
rnacentral:siRNA from 1 species